AUGAGAAACACAAUAAGGGCCCCUCUCUCUCUCUCUCUCUCUCUCUCUCUCUCUCUCUCUUUCUUUCAUUUGACUUUACUUCUCUAUUGUGACGGUUUGCUGAGGAUAUGUGACUGCUCUCUGAGGAUGGUAACCUUGCUGCUGAACCUUUGUCAGGCCUGUGUGUUUCUUGGAAAUGUCUUGUAUUGUUACGCAAUUGAGAUGUGUUUCUAUAGGAGGUAUUCAAACCUUUUAAACCUUACAAUAACAGUUACAUACCAUGUCAUUUUUAGUGGACGUUUGAGCAGAACCUUGCUGUUUGCAAGGUUUAUGGAAUUGGUGGAAAUCAG
rnacentral:lncRNA from 13 species